AUUUUCCUUGGGCAAGUCUUGAAGAAAUCCCGCCAAAGUGGUACAAUUGUGCAUAUCUCUCGUUUGGUGCUCUGCUGUACUGUUUCACUGAAUCGGCUUCUGCACCUGUCUUACAUAUGUUAUUUUAUUUUGUAUGGAAAGAGUCUAAUAUGAAGUAAAAAAAAAAAAAAAAAGAGGAAGGAGAAAAAGUAAAGGUAAAUGAAAGUUUGACCAUUAGAAAAAUCAGCAAACGGGUUAAGACUUUGGGGAAAACGACAUAAAACAACUUAAGGGGGUAAAUACCACAUAAUACCACAUCUUGAAGUAAAACUGAAUGCAAACACUGCUAUUAGAAUUAAAGGAAGUGUAGUGAAAUGUUCUCAUUGAUAUUUCUUUACUAAUUUACUAAUACUUACCUUGGUGAAGUGGACUCGAGUGUUGAAUUUUUGUUUCUCCAUAGCUGAACUGUUUAGUCACAAGUCACUGAAAUAUUCUUAACAUUUUUAUUGAUUAUAAACUUAUAACAAAUUACUAAAAAACUGAAGGAGAGGCAUGCAUAAACUACAAUUUUCUGCAGAUGUUAUCAGACUGUGGAUGAGGUGUUCUCUUUUGUCUAGCAAUCCAAACCAAGCCUCAGCCUUUGUUUUGUUACAUCAGCUGAUUUGUGUUUCAAGCCGUAAAACAAGAUGACUAUUCAAAGCAAGUCAGAUAGUGUAUUGCUGUUUAUAAUUGGUAGAACAGAUUGAACAUGUAAAGGGAUAUUAAAGUAGUAUCCGUCAAAUACAAUUUAAGACUAAGCUACGAAAUGUUACUGGUUAUGGUGAAGGGUACUUUCUUUUUUUUAAACAUGAUUUUUCGCUCCUAUGGCAGAAUGCAAGUUCAAUUUUGGUCGAGUUAUGGAUGCAACUAAUUCAAAAUGGUGGUUUAGCAGAGGUUUGUUUAGCUUUGAAUUUUAAAGAUUGUUUUUACUUUUAGAUGCAGUUGCGUUGAUGCAAUUUAGUUUAAAACACAAGCCAAAGAUAAAGUAACUUUUCUGAACGUGUAAUAUCCCUGAAUUGCUGUUGAUUUGGCUGUACCCCUCAAGGCUCCUCCCUCCCUGCCUCCCACCCCUUGAGGCCUUGUCAGACCACCUUACUUUUUGUAUAAAGGCUGGUCUGGAGGUCGAGCGGUGCUGUCUGCGGGUGGUGCUGAAACUACAGAUGCUCAUUUAGCCAUGUGGUCACUAGUGCUGGUUCUUAUAGAUCCACGUCUGGGAGCUGCAGAACCUUCUUUUCCUACCUUGUGAUCCUAACAUCACACAGCCUGACUCCUCCCAAGUACCAGAUAAAACUGCAUGUCCACAACCUAAAGGAAUUUCGUUUACUCCUGAGAGAUCUGAAGAAGUUUCUUCUGCUCUAGGGUCUGAGGAAUUUAUGUGGGAGGAAUUACCAGAAAGUUAUGGUUUUAUGUGGGAGGAAUUACCCGAAAGUUAUGGUUGUGGGCGCAACAGACUUGUAAGUGUGUAGACAUUGUGUUGCUGAUGUGUAGGAUCAAGGGAUGGAAUGUUUUUUUUUUUUUGUACUGUGGGUGUGGGUUGUACACUGUUUGUGGCAAAAUCCAUUAGAUAAAAGUACAAUCCUGUGCAAAAUACUCUACUCAGCCUUUGGUUCCAACACAUUCUAUUUAUCUGACUUCCACAUUUUCAAGGAGUGGAAGUGUGAUCAACUUUAAUGCUGUAAAAAGGUUUUGUAACUGCAGGAAACAAGCAGGUACACAGUCUGUUCUCUUCUGUUGUAAUUUCCAAUUGAACUCCAAUUUCUCUGAUUUCCAUUCAGAAGCUGAACAGCUUUGAAAAGCAUGCUAACUUGCCAUCUGUUUUUACAGCUAUUUAUGUAUGGAAAUUUUUCACAUUUUACUUGUUUGCCAAAAAAUUAUAGGACAUUUGAAUAAACAUUUCCACUUGUUUUGCAGACCACUGAAUGCUAAUAUAAAUGUAUUCCUUCAUUGUUCUGUUUCAUUAAAACAGUUACAAUUAGCAAAUGUGAACUUGUCGUAUUAAAUUAAACACACAUUUUGCAUUUACA